GACGCACGCUGCCCGCGUGCUUACCACAUGCAAUUCGAACGGGAUUGCCCUGCUUUUGGAGGUGGCUCGAUUCGCGAACGUGUGGGUAACACGUAUGUAACCUGCCCUGGAUUUUCCCAUAACUUCAGUACACUUGGUCUAAUACCGAAUAGGAGCUCCGUCGGCAUGGUAGGCGUUGCAAAGUUUCGGCGGUUUGGGAUGGACUCUCGGCUUCUCAUCUUGUUGGUGGGGUAGUGGCUUACCAAGGGUUUGACGGGUAGCCGGCCUGAGAGGGUGACCGGCGACAUUGGGAGUGAGAUACGGCCCAGACUCCUACGGGAGGCAGCAGUGGGGAAUAUGGCACAAUGGGCGGAAGCCUAAUGAAGCAAAGCCGGGUGCGGGAUGAAGGACUUCGGGUUGUAGACCGCUUUCGCCUGUGACGAAGCGUGAGUGACGGAAAUGGGUAAAGAAGCAACGGCUAAAUACGUG
rnacentral:rRNA from 1 species